rnacentral:lncRNA from 1 species
CUCCUAGAAACUAGAAAUCAUGAGUACAAAGCUAUCUUAUAUGAAAAUAGAAAUCCCAAAAGUAAAACACAAUAAUCCGUAUCAAAGGAAAAAUAAUAGCUUAACAUAUACACACAAAGAGACACACUGAUCCAAGAUGCCAAGUGUUCAUCCUCAUCUCUGAUACCCAAAUGCUACAAUAGAUGACACAAACAAUUAUCCCUAGUAGCUGGUACUAAAACCUGCAUCACGGAAAAGAUGCAGGGUAUAACAUGAGUACUAAAAACAAAGGUACUAAUAAACUAAGCCUAACUUGACCUCCAUAAGACUAUAAGGUACACUCAUGUGCAUGUUUAAGCAAAACCUGAACGAAUCCCUGUAAGCCCGAAAGGUAUGCAGAAUAGCUAAGUCCACUAAGAGAAGAGUAACACAAACCUAAAGUCGGGCUCCAAGCCCAAAUAACCAUCAUAUCCAGUCAAAUCCCAGCCCAUAUCGCAAGCGUGACAAUCAAUCUAGGUCGCCCAGGCAACUAGUCCAUUCUUAGGGGCGAAAGCCGUGCAGCUAGAAAGAGGAUUGGUUUGGAACACUGUACAUACAAAUGAGAUAUUGAAACCAAUAAUAAUUACAUUUUGGACUCAAUAGAGGAAACAAAAUUUCCAUACGAGGUCAUCUUGAAAGAAUAAGGGUCCCAUACUGAAUCUAAUUUCAAGCCGAAAUCCACAAAGGGCUCUUAUUUAGCCCGAAGGCCUCGAGAUCCAAACAACGGGUCAUUCUAGACCAAACUCAACCUUCCGAACCUAACUGAGAGGGCACAAUUCUCAUGCGAGCUCGCCUACUCAGAUUUUGACAAAAAGUCAAACUUAGGUCUUAGCUUGGAAGUUAAAAUGUCCAAUCGCACAGACUCGUAUUGAAAGACUGGUGAGUCACGCCGACCAUGCUACUAGCCCAAAUUGACCCUUACAAAGUUGAUGAAAUUGUCAGAAUAGGAUUCUAAUGUCAUGUCAGAAACUUUUUAUUAAAAUGACCGUAAAAUUUUCAAAAGCUGCAAGACACUAAAAGUUACAUAUAAAUCAAUCAAAUGACUAAGUGACCUAAUUGUUAGUUCCAGCGAGUCAUAAAAUUACUUGGAGAACCAGGAACGGAGGGCUUUCCCCUCAUCUGCCCGACUCUUUGGUCUUAAGAACGCUGGUUUUAAGAAUCACUUUAAGAAUGUUUUAAAUGACGAACAGGUGACAUAAAUAUAAAAUGACAUGGAGGUCAUUACAACAUAGUCUACUACGCUAAUUCUUUUUCUUAUAACAAAAGAUUGACUCAAAAAGUUUGGUUGGUAUAAGAUCGCAUCCAAAAACUACACAUAAUUCAAGAUGAUACACCCUUAUUUAAAUUUAUUCCAAAACAGUUAUUGUUGAUAGUAAAAUAUUCUCUAAUUCAAACUACUCAAAAAAGUUCAGAAUUCAAUUUUUUCAUAUAAAUAUAAGGGUUAGUCGUAGGCAAAGACAAGAACAAGAAGAAGAAGAACAACAACAACAAGAAAGUCAUUCUUGAACAAACACAUACAUCCUCAUAUUCCUCCCCUUAGCCAUGUCUAGAAACAAAGUAAUAUUUUCUUUGAUUGAAAAUGAAACUGAUAGAAAAGUCUCACACAAGAAAAGACACAUAGGGUUGUUGAAAAAGGCACAAGAACUCAUGACUCUUUGUGAAGUUGAAAUGGAUGUCAUCAUCUAUAGUCCUUAUAGUAAUGAACCUAAGGUGUUUCCCAAUCAUGGUGUUGCAAUCAGCACCUUUCGAAAGUUUAAAGAAUUUGCAACGUCGGAGAGAUAAAAAAAUAUGGUGACAAGAGAUGAAUUAACCGAAAAAAGAAUCAAGAAGUUGGAGAAAAACUUACUAAAGGUAAAAAAGAAAAAUAGGGUAAAGGAAAUUAAGAAUGAGAUGCAUGAAGUGUUGAAUGGAAAAACUAUUUCCUUAGACAUGGAGCCUUACGAUCUCAACGAUCUAAGUUACGUGAUAAAAAAGAACCUUGAACUGGUACGUGAAGCAAUGAAAAAGAAUGUUGGUGAUGAGGGGUCUACAUCCAAUGUCCCUCAAUCCAUGCCUUCAACAACAAUGACUUCUAUGAUGCCUUCAUCAAUUAUAGAUUCUCCAUUGUAUGCUCCAGUGCCUUCUCCAAUGACACCACAAAUGGACCCUUCAGAGGAGAUCCCCCUAAUGGGUACAUUAAUUCAAAUGAAUAACUCUCAAAACUACUCUAGUGACAUUUCAGAAAGUCCUUCAUUGAUUGAGUUACUAAAUUGGAAUAAUGAUGAUGUCGUGACUUUGCUGGAUGACCUAUCACUAAACAAUAUUAAUGAUCAAGAUCCAACCCCACCAAUAAUAUAUAAAAUCUUUGGACUAGUGUGUAGCUCUUUUUAUUAUUAUUGUUUUAUAUGUUCAUGUGGUCCCCCAUGUACAAUUUAUAUCUUUAAAGUUUUGCAUGUCUAAGUGUGUCAUAGGAUUCUCCACAUCACUAGUUUGUAAUUUAUUUAUUUAUUUGCGUUUUUAUUGUUGUGAAUAUUCAAAUCUUGUUGGUAGGGGUGGGCGUUCGGUUCUUCGGUAUUCGGUUUUAGAAAAGUGUGCACCAUAUUUCAAGCCAAACUAGAUCGGUUCGGUUCGGUUUUUCUUCUUCGGUUUGGUUUAAUUCGGUGUUUUUAAAUCAAUUUUUCGGUGUGAAUAAAAAUAAAGAGGGAAUAUGAUAAAGUAACAAUUGUUGUUCACUUCACACUUCAAACUUAAAAGUAACAACUAACAGUCUAACAAUAAAAAGUAAUAACAUCAAAAUAGUUUUGUUUAGGCUGGGUGCCCUUUACUGUUUUGUUUAGGCUCCAAAAUUUAAAAAUUGAAAUGGGCCAGGUAAAGUUAAAAAUUAAAAUGGGCCAGGUAAAUAUUUUGAGUCAAAACAUAUAAGUAUUAUUAAAUAAUAUAAUGUAAAUAUUUUUAAAUUUAUUUAAUCAAACUUCGGUUCUUCGGUGCACCGUAGUUUCGGGACCCUUACACCGAACUCCAAACCGAAGAAUCGAAAUUCCAAAAAAAAAGAACCGACACCAAACCGAAACACCGAAGAACCGAAAUAGUUCGAUUCAGUUCGAUUUUUCAAUUUUCUGGUAUUUAUGCCCACCCCUACUUGUUGGUGGUACGGUUUCCAAAAAAAACCUCUUACACUUAAAAAGUUAAACAUAUUGAUUCAUGUAUUAAAUAAAUUUUUACUCUAAACUUUUUAGGGUGAAACAAUAACACAUCUAAAAUUGAAUAUGAAUUUAAACAUUAAAGAAAAUUAUCCAGAAGACCUAUAAAAUAUCCAUUUUGAAAUAAUAAUGUGAAGUAAGAGAAUCAUUAACUUUUUGGCUUUAUUAAGUAAUAAAAUUUCUUAUGUUCUGGUUUAAUUUAAUUGUUUAUAAUUAGAAGUAGUGAAUUCCUAAAUUAAGUAAAUUGAUUAAGAAUUUUCUACUUCCAAUUUGAAAUUCCAUAAUUCAAAUAAUUUUAAUUUAUAAAUUAAAUUUAACAAAAAAGUAAUAUAAUAAAAAUAGUUAAUUAUAAUUUAACAAAAAAAAUAAUGCAAUAAAAACAAAAUGGAAACAAAACAAAGAGUUAGCAGAAACUCCUAUUUAAAAACCCCAUUUUCCCCUAUAUUUCCUCUCCAGUUCACACUUUACUAACAAUUAAAUUAUUAUUUUUUAGAUAAAUUGAUUUCAAAAUUUUAAAAAUAGUAUAACGGAAACAUAAAAAAAAUAAAAAUUGAAUGUUACCAUAGUUAAAUCUUUUCUAUUCUUUUUAUUUUUAGUUUAACAAAAAAAAAAUGAAAAAAUCUUCUUAAUUUGUUUUUUUUUUUUUUCUUAAAAAAACGACAAAUUAAGAUGGGUGAGAAUUCUAACUAAUCACAUUUCAAAACAAACACAUGCAUUUAAGUUUUUAUUUUUUAAUUAAAUAGUUGAAAAUAUUUACAUCUUAAUUCAAAUUAAAAAUGGCUAUAUCAACUCUAAACUAUAAACUAUACAUAAUUUGUUUAUUUAUAAAUUAAUUCUCAACUUAGAAUCCAACUUUUAUUUUUAUUUUUAAGUUUAAAAUUUAAAAUAGGAAAACAAUUGCAUUUGUUUUUUUUUUAUAUAAAAACUAUUAAAUCUUUCGAAAGUUUUCCCUACGAAUGUUAAUUUUUUGUUGAUUAUUUGGUAGUAAUAUUUUUGGUUAGAAGUAUUUUUAUAUAUAAAAUUGAAAAAUAAUUAACAAUAAUUUAAAAUUUAAGUAGAUGUAAACAAAUGAAUUUUAGAAAUGCCACUUUAUGUCAUACAUAUUUUGUGGAAAUACGAUUUCAAAAGUAUAGGAUCUCAGACAUAUUUUGUGGAACUAAACAACGUGUGUAACUUGCUUUUGAAACUGAAAAGAUUGUGUGAUUUUUAAUUGUAAAAGACUUUAUAUUUAAUUAUUUCUGAAUUAUUUAUAAUUUGAUUUAUUCUAUAACUAUAAUUAUUAAAAUCAUGCAUUUACUUUUAUUUUAUCCUCUAUUUAUGUAUAUGUUUCAAUAAAAUUUUAAAUUCAUGAACAUUUCUAAAUUAAUUUUCAUUAUAUGUAGGAAAUUUAAUUUAAAUUAAUAUCUAACAGAUCCCACUAUAAUAAAUUGUUAUUUAUAUGUUGAAUUUGAUUUUAGGGAUGAAUUUAAAGUUUUAAUUUUUAAAUUUAACAUGUUACUAUUUAAUUAAAUUUAAAAUUAUUUAUAUAUCAUUUCAGAGGGAUACAUCAUUUAUUGUGAAUUUGGCAAGUGAAUAAUAAUAACACUCAGCUUAAAGAAUACUUGAGAAAUGGCAACAGAUCCAAAUUAUUGAAAUAAUCAAUUUUUAACUUUUUUAUAAUAAAUCUUUGUAUGCCUAAAUUAAUCAAUAAGUACAUAUGCAUGAUAAUUUUGGCUUCAUGUUUCAUUAUAUAGUUAUCGGUCAAAUGGUUAUAAGUUAUAAGUGUACAUUUUAUCCCUCGUAUGAGAACUUUUUUUUCUUUCUCUCUUUUUUUCUUCUUAAUAUAUUAUAAGUUAAUCAAAGUGAAGUGUAGUAAGCAUGGAUAUCACUGUUACAUCAAGAUUCUACAAAUUAUCAAGUUAUUUGCAAUUAUAAUAUGAUAGACACUUUAAUAUAAUAAUAAUAAUAAAAAAAAAGAAAAAAAUUAGUAACUCAAACUAAUAAUUAAUUUAACUUGGGUGAAUUAAGUGAUAAUUUACUUUAAGAAGAUUCUUCAAUGCAAUUACUUAUGUACACUAUAAUUAUAUUUAAAGUGAUUUUUUAAAACUAUAAUUCUAACAGACGAAAGAGUUCUUCAUUCAGGAAUUAUGGCUUCAAUAUAUGCAAUGAUAAUACUAAAAUAUUACAUAAAAAAAUUCACGUAUAAUGUUGUCAAUUCAUUCAAAAAGUUGAUCAACAUUUUCAUAUAUUUGUAAUACGUUGUCAAUUCAUUCAAAAAGUUGAUCAACAUUUCCAUAUAUUCGUAAUAUAUACACUAUUAAAGACUAAGUCGAAAUACCUUCACUUCAAUCUUAUGUUGAAUUUGGAUCCUUCAAAUGAAGAUCCUCUUGUUUAUGAUGAGUAUUUUCUUCAUUCGAUUUUUAUUAUAGAAACAGUGCAAAGAGAUAAACCCAUUGAAAUAAGAGAAUAAUUUAAUUUGCUACCUAAAAGCCAUGAAGCAUAAUCAAUAUUUCUCAUGAUGAUUCUCUUUCAAAAAUAAAAUCACAUAAAAAUAAAGAACGUAAGUACUGUGUUUUGUAUUUAUAGAGAGAGAAAACAAAAAACAAAACAGUUAAAACUUUAAAAUUAAAAAAGUUAAAACUUUAAAAUUGUAAAUAGAAGUUAUAAUCAGUUUUGAAUUCAAAAACCACAAUUGUUUAAGAUAAAAUCAAAAUUUUAAAAAUGCACCCAAGUUAGUUUUGUUUUUUAUCUUAGACGUUGUUUUUUUUCUUUUAAACAGAAUUUAUUUAUUAUUUAAUACCAUUAUAUGUAAUUAAUUUAGAAUCCUAAACGGCUUAUAUUAUAUGGAAAAAAAAAGAGUCCAACACGUCUUUUUUUACCGUGUUUUCCAAAAUUUGUGGGAAUUGUUUUACCAUAUUCACGUUAUUUUUUUUUUCCUUUUAAACUGAAUUUAUUUAUUAUUUAAUAACAUUAUAUGUAAUUAAUUUAGAGUCCUAAACGGCUUAUUAUAAAAAAGUGUCCAAAACAUAUUUUUUUACCGUGUUUUCCAAAAUUUGUAGGAAUUUUUUUUACCAUAUUCAAGUUUUAAAUAUUUAUUUAAAAAAAAUAAAAAUAAAAACAGUUUUUCAGUUACAUGAGACUAAUUUUUAAAAUUGUUUUAAAAUGAUUUAUAUUUAAUUAUCCUAAUUNNNNNNNNNNNNNNNNNNNNNNNNNNNNNNNNNNNNNNNNNNNNNNNNNNNNNNNNNNNNNNNNNNNNNNNNNNNNNNNNNNNNNNNNNNNNNNNNNNNNAUUUAAAAAUAUGAUUUUUGUGGUGCUGACACGUAUGUGUUUUUUCCUCUUCUAUUAUAUAUAGAUAGAAUUUCCAAAAUUUGUGGGAAUUUUUUACCAUAUUCACGUUUUUUUUUUCCUUUUAAACUGAAUUUAUUUAUUAUUUAAUAACAUUAUAUGUAAUUAAUUUAGAGUCCUAAACGGCUUAUUAUAAUAAAAGUGUCCAAAUCUUCUUUUUUUACCGUGUUUUCCAAAAUUUGUAGGAAUUCUUUUUAACAUAUUCAAGUUUUAAAUAUUAUUUUUUUUUAAAAAAAAACAGUUCUUCAGUUACAUGGGACUAAUUUUUAAAAUUGUUUUAAAAUUAUUUAUAUUUAAUUAUCCUAAUUUUAUUUUAAUUAUUUAAAAAUAUGAUUUUUGUGGUGCUGACACAUAUGCAUUUUUUCCUCUUCUAUUAAAUAUAGAUAAAUGAGCUGAGUAUAUUUUUGGGAGUAAUAUUGAGCACCGAUAUGGGGACGAGUUGAGAUAACUCAAGUCUCCAUAACCAUGUAGCCAAUGUGGGUAGAAAGGGUCAUACUUUUUAGAUGAUUAGUGGAUCCACUUAGUUGAGAGGUCUUAUGCCCUGGCAAAGUAUAGGACAGUUCUGGCAGCGUGGGCGAGACGAUGUAUCAUCACAUAACUCAUAGUGAUGGUUGUCGGUUAGAGAAUCUCCCAUAGAGUUAUAUUAUAUUUUAUCAUAUACAAAUUGAGUUGUUAUUGUUUUCAUCAAUGCAUUGAGUUGCUAUCUAUUGUUUUAAAGUUUUCCAUAUAUUGCAUCUUUUAUUGUUGCUUUAUCUUGAGUUGAGUAUCCAGAGUUGAGUAUCUUGAGUUAAGUAUCUUGAGUUGAGUACCUUGGAGUUGAAUAUUUUACCUUUGAGUUGAGUAUCUUAUUGUUGAGUUGAGCCUUAUUUCACGGAGUUGAAUAUUUUAUCUUUGAGUUUAGUAUCUUAUUCCUGAGUUGAGUUAGUUGAAAGAGUUGAGAAGAGGUAAGUAUGUUUCCUUUUUAUCAAGUUCAAUCUUAUGUUAUGCUUUAGAACUCCUCUUACAUGCUCAUACAUUCCAUCUACUGAGCCAUUUGGCAUGCAUCAUUUCAUGAUGCAUAUACAGGUAUUCAGGAUCAUCAAUAGGCGCUUCGUUGAUACCACUUGCAGUUCGAGUUAGCUAUGGUGAGCCUCCUUGCUUCCGGAGGGUUCCACUUGUACUUUCAACUAUAUUAGUUGUUAGGAUGUCGUGGGUCUUGUCCCAACUUCCAUCUUUGUCGGUUAAAGGCUUCAUAGAUAGACAAUAGAGCUUCAGAAGUCUGUUCAUUUAUUUUCUUAAAUGUUUUAAAGACUUGAGUUGCAUAUUUUAGGCUAGAUGAAUACUAUUUAUAUUCAGAGUAAAUCAUUUGAGUUAAAGAUUUGUAUUUAAGUUUCAUGAAUUUUAUUCAGUUUUAAAGCUUUUGUAUGCUUGAGUUUGUCUUCCGCUUGUAGUCAGCCAGGAUGAGGGUUCGCUUGAGGACCAACAAUGGUUCUCAAGUACCGGCCACGUCCAGGGAGUAGAAUCGGGUCGUGACAGAAAAAACAAUUAAGAAACUGGGGUGUGGAAGGUGAAUUGGGGGAGGAUAUUAUGAUGUGGAGAAUCGAACCCUCACAAAAAAAUGAGGGAGCUUAGGUAGAGACUAUAACAAUGAUAUUCUAGACUAAAAUAUAUUAUCUAAAAUAUUUUCUAUAUUGAAACACAACCACGUAAGUUAAUAUUUUUAUUUGAUUUUUACUUAUUUGUUCAUAAAAUAGGAAAUGUUGAAAUAUGAAAAAUUAUUAAGAUAAUAUACAAACUAAUCAAGUGUUAUGAAAUUCUACUCUAAAUCUAAGAAUAAAGAAAUAAUAACAGUAUGAGAUAUUAUUUGUCCCGACCCGAUUUUCCGAGUCAUGAUGGCAACUAGUAUAACCACCCAGUGGGUAAGUCAACCCAUACCCAGAACGACAAGUAAUGAGUAUAAGGGUAGAACUAAAAAGAAAUAACACGACCAGUAAGAAUAAGUCAUAAAUGGAAGAAAACCAAAAACUAUAUUAAUAAUAAAUCCUCCCAGAAACUAGAAAUCAUGAGUACAAAGCUAUAUUAUAUGAAAAUAGAAGUCCCAAAAGUGGAACACAAUAAUUUGUCUCAAACGAAAAAUAAUAGCUUAACAUAUACACACAAAGAGACAUAUUGAUCCAAGAUGCCAAGUGCUCAUCCUCAUCUCUGAUACCCAAAUGCUACAAUAGAUUACACAAGAAAUCAUCACUAGUAGCUGGUACUAGGACCUGCAUCACGGAAAAGAUGAAGAGUAUAACAUGAGUACUAAAAUCAAAGGUACUGCAAAACUAAACCUAACUUGACCUCCAUAAGCCCAUAAGGUAAACUAAUGUGCAUGUUUAAGCAAAACCCAAACGAAUCCCUAUAAGCCCAAAGGCAUGCAAAAUAGCUAAGUCCACUAAGAGAAGAGUAACACAAACCUAAAGUCGGGCUCCAAGCCCAAAUAAUAAUCGUAUCCAGUCAACUCCCAGCCCAGAUAGCAAGAGUGACAAUAAAUCUAGGUCGCCCAGCCAACAACUCCAUUCUUAGUUACGUAAGCCGACCAAUAGAAAGAGGAUUGGUUCGGAACACUGUACAUACAUAUGAUAUAUGGAAACCAAUUACAAAUUACAUUUUGGACUUAAUGGAGCAAACAUAAUUUCCAUACGAGCUCGUCUUGACAGAAUAUGGGUCUUAUACCGAACCUAAUUUCAAGCCAAAAUUAAAUCCACAAGGGGCUUUUUAUUAGCCCGAAGGCCUUGAGAUCUAAACAACGGGUCGUUCUAGACCAAACUCAACCUUCCGAAACUAACUUAGUGGGCAGAAUUAUCAUCCGAGCUCGUCUACUCAAAUUUUGACAAAAGUUAAACUUAGGUCUUAGCUUGGAAGUGAAAAUGUCCAAUCUCACCUACUCGUAUUGAAAGACUCGCGAGUCACGUCGACCAUGCUACUAGCCCAAUUUGACCCUUAAAAAGUUGAUGAAAUUGUCAGAAUAGGAUUCUAAGGUCAUUUAUGAAACUUUUUAUCAAAACUGACCGUAAAAAUUUCAAAAUCUUCAAGACACUAACACUUACUUAUAAAUCAAUCAAAUGACUAAGUGACCGAAAUGUUAGUUCCAGCAAGUCAUAAAAUUACUUGGGAUCGCUUUAAGAAUGUUUUAAAUGAUGAGCAGGUGACAUAAAUACAAAAUGACCUGGAGGUCAUCACAACAUAGUCUACUAAAAAGGUCUUUUGCGAAAGUAAAAGUCAAGAAGUACUUGAAGGCUUAAACAAGCCAAGUAAGUCUUUGUAUUUGGGACAAGUCUUUGUAUUUUGGGUCCUUUUUGGGGACUUCUACACUUUUGUUUAGCAUUUCUAUACUAGUGACUUCUACGUUCUGGGAGGGAUCCUCUUAUUGUAUAUAUAUUUUGGCUUGCUUCCGCUUUAUCUUCUGUUUCUAUAUUGAAAUUCUUGAUUUUGCUUUGUUUCUAUCCUUCUACCCAUUACUUGUCAUUCUAGGUUACAAGUUACCGUACCUACUGGUUGGUUGUAAUAGGUGUCAUCAUGAUUCAAAAAUUUAGGUCGUGACAAAACGUUUCUUUAAAAGAAUAACAUUUAUCUUUUUAUUUAUUCUAUUAACACAUUAUUUUGAUUUGCUUUUUUUUACAAUUCUGGAAUAUUGAUUAACCUAAAAACUAAUAGAGAAAAAAAAUUCAUUGAGAGUCAUGUAAUAGGUUGGUGUGUAUCAUAUAAUAAUAAAAAGACAAGUAAGUAAAAUUUAAUUUUUAAAAUAUUUGAAAGCAGUAUAAAUAUUCUACUAAAUAUAACUUCUUCCAAAUUUGGAAAAAAUAUUAAUGUAAUACUAUAAGACAUAUAUUUGCUAUAAACGUAUGAACAUUUUUUGUGUAUACUAGUUAUUCAGUUUAAACAAUAUUAAUUCUUUUCCUUAUAAGAAAAGAUUGACUCAAAAAGUUUGGCUAGUAUAAUCGGAUACAAAAACUACAUAUAAUUCAAGAUGAUACACUCUUCUUUAAAUUUAUUCCAAAAUAGUUAUUGUUGACAGUAAUAAAAUCUCUAAUUCAAACUACUCAAAAAAUUUCAGAAUUCAAUUUUUUCAUAUAAAUAUAAGGGUCAAUUUUAGGCAAAGACAAGAACAAGAACAACAUCAAAGUCAUUCUUGAACAAACACAUACAUCCUCAUAGUCAUCCUCUUUAGCCAUGACUACAAACAAAGUAAUAUUUGCUUUGAUUGAAAAUGAAACUGAUAGAAAAGUCUCAUACAAGAAAAGACACAUAGGGCUCUUGAAAAAGGCACAAGAACUAAUGACUCUCUAUGAAGUUGAAAUGGUUGUCAUCAUCUAUAGUCCUUAUAGUGAUGAACCUAAGGUGUUUCCCAAUCAUGGUGUUGCAAUCAGCACCUUUCGAAAUUUUAAAGAAUUGGCAACGUCGGAGAGAUAAAACAAUAUGGUGACAAGAGAUGAAUUCACCAAGAAAAGAAUCAAGAAGUUGGAGAAAAAUUUACUAAAGGUAAGAAAGGAAAAUAGGGUAAAGGAAAUUACGAAUGAGAUGCAUUAAGUGUUGAAUGGAAAAACUAUUUCCUUAGACAUGAAGCCUUA